GUUUGAUCAUGGCUCAGAUUGAACGCUGGCGGCAGGCCUAACACAUGCAAGUCGAACGGUAACAGGAAGCAGCUUGCUGCUUUGCUGACGAGUGGCGGACGGGUGAGUAAUGUCUGGGAAACUGCCUGAUGGAGGGGGAUAACUACUGGAAACGGUGGCUAAUACCGCAUAACGUCGCAAGACCAAAGAGGGGGACCUUCGGGCCUCUUGCCAUCAGAUGUGCCCAGAUGGGAUUAGCUUGUUGGUGAGGUAACGGCUCACCAAGGCGACGAUCCCUAGCUGGUCUGAGAGGAUGACCAGCCACACUGGAACUGAGACACGGUCCAGACUCCUACGGGAGGCAGCAGUGGGGAAUAUUGCACAAUGGGCGCAAGCCUGAUGCAGCCAUGCCGCGUGUAUGAAGAAGGCCUUCGGGUUGUAAAGUACUUUCAGCGGGGAGGAAGGUGUUGUGGUUAAUAACCGCAGCAAUUGACGUUACCCGCAGAAGAAGCACCGGCUAACUCCGUGCCAGCAGCCGCGGUAAUACGGAGGGUGCAAGCGUUAAUCGGAAUUACUGGGCGUAAAGCGCACGCAGGCGGUCUGUCAAGUCGGAUGUGAAAUCCCCGGGCUCAACCUGGGAACUGCAUUCGAAACUGGCAGGCUUGAGUCUUGUAGAGGGGGGUAGAAUUCCAGGUGUAGCGGUGAAAUGCGUAGAGAUCUGGAGGAAUACCGGUGGCGAAGGCGGCCCCCUGGACAAAGACUGACGCUCAGGUGCGAAAGCGUGGGGAGCAAACAGGAUUAGAUACCCUGGUAGUCCACGCCGUAAACGAUGUCUACUUGGAGGUUGUGCCCUUGAGGCGUGGCUUCCGGAGCUAACGCGUUAAGUAGACCGCCUGGGGAGUACGGCCGCAAGGUUAAAACUCAAAUGAAUUGACGGGGGCCCGCACAAGCGGUGGAGCAUGUGGUUUAAUUCGAUGCAACGCGAAGAACCUUACCUGGUCUUGACAUCCACAGAAGAAUCCAGAGAUGGAUUUGUGCCUUCGGGAACUGUGAGACAGGUGCUGCAUGGCUGUCGUCAGCUCGUGUUGUGAAAUGUUGGGUUAAGUCCCGCAACGAGCGCAACCCUUAUCCUUUGUUGCCAGCGGUUAGGCCGGGAACUCAAAGGAGACUGCCAGUGAUAAACUGGAGGAAGGUGGGGAUGACGUCAAGUCAUCAUGGCCCUUACGACCAGGGCUACACACGUGCUACAAUGGCGCAUACAAAGAGAAGCGACCUCGCGAGAGCAAGCGGACCUCAUAAAGUGCGUCGUAGUCCGGAUUGGAGUCUGCAACUCGACUCCAUGAAGUCGGAAUCGCUAGUAAUCGUGGAUCAGAAUGCCACGGUGAAUACGUUCCCGGGCCUUGUACACACCGCCCGUCACACCAUGGGAGUGGGUUGCAAAAGAAGUAGGUAGCUUAACCUUCGGGAGGGCGCUUACCACUUUGUGAUUCAUGACUGGGGUGAAGUCGUAACAAGGUAACCGUAGGGGAACCUGCGGUUGGA
rnacentral:rRNA from 3 species